rnacentral:rRNA from 1 species
GGAUGUGCUCACCGAGUCGCAUGGCUUGGUGAGGAAAUGGAUUCCGCUUCGGGAUGGCCUCGCGGCCUAUCAGCUUGUUGGUGGGGUAACGGCUCACCAAGGCGACGACGGGUAGCUGGUCUGAGAGGACGAUCAGCCACACUGGGACUGAGACACGGCCCAGACUCNUACGGGAGGCAGCAGCAGGGAAUAUUGCGCAAUGGGCGAAAGCCUGACGCAGCAACGCCGCGUGGGGGAUGAAGGCUCUUGGGUUGUAAACCCCUUUCAGCAGGGACGAUUGUGACGGUACCUGCAGAAGAA